UUCUACUAAGGAAUCCCUUUACCUAAUGGCAUCUCACAAGACUACAGUCAGACUCAAGAGAAGGCCUCUUGAUACAUCAAGAUAGCACCUAUAUGCAUUUUGUGAACAGCUUAUUCUUAGAUCAUUGGUUUUCCAAAGACUUGUGGCCAUGAAGUCCUUUGAAUGAAAAUAUGGAAGCCCAGAGUAAAAGUGAAGCUGCUCUAAAUGAAGUAGUGAAGCAGAAGUGGGAGUCUGCAACCUGCCAUAACCAUCAUCCUUUACCACCAUGGUGACAUCAAAAGAGACUUCCUUGCAACAUGUAGAAUUCUUCAGAGCAAAGUUUGAAAACUACUGCCCCAGAUGACGUGUUUGAGCUGAGUGGCAUUCUAAUCUUUUGUGUACCUUCUCUCAAUAUGGUCCAUAUUCAGUUGAUGCUGAACAUUCUUACGAAUAUUUACUGCAGACUUAGGAAUAUGCAAGAAAUGACAAAGUGCAAGAAAUGCCUUUGCCCCCCCAGAAUGGUCAUGUGGGCUGAAAAUAGUGUCAAAUGAACCUUCAUUAAUAGCCCUCCAUCCCAGAUGGACUUAAAAUCACUCCUGGAAUUGGAUAGACCCAGAGAGCAACUAAUAUGCACCCUACACUGACAAAUCCCACUUACCAACCUUCUUAAACACCAGAUGUACUACUGGUACUGAAGUACAUGAAUGAUAUCUUAGACCUUCCUUGGAUACAUGAAAAACCUACAGGUUGAUACUGAAACUGAUUCCUCAUUGAGACCAUCUUAAACCAACUUGUGCAUUUGACCUCUCAUCAUUAACCAUGGUACUAUACUUCGUAUGCAAGGGAUAACUAACUAUGAAAGCAGAAUCCAAAUAUUGGCAGCAUUUCCCAAAGGGGCUCAGUACCUGGUUAUCAUUCAUCUUUUCAAACUACAAAUCACUAUAUGACUCAACCAGUGGUAGUUUACACUGCUCCUUGGUUUAUAUUCAGUUAACCGGUAUUUCCAGGACAAGUGAGCCUUUAAAAAAGUUGGCUUUUUUGUUUAAUUUUAAUUUUCUCCAUCACUUGGCAUAUCUGCUUGUUCUACAAAAUUAAUAUGAAUACUAGUCUCUAACUACAUGUAACAGCUGAUCUUCAAGACAAUCUUUGGACAUCCCUUCUCAUGUGAUUUUAAAUGAAGCCAUUUGGAAAAUUUUUCUUAUAGCCAGUGAGAAAUGUUCUUGUAAUAUGAAUCUUUUGUGCCUGGUACCAUCAACUAUAUAUGCUAGUGAUAGUUAAACAUAGGCCCUUUGAUCAGACCAUGGUAGCCAACUCGCUGGGCUACAUUUUUGUCAGACUGAUAUGGAAAAAAAAAAUACAAAUACAGCAGCAAAGGAUUUUAAUGCUUAAAACUUUUGUCCUCAUGGAUCUUAAAUCACAUCUGUCUCAAUACUGCUGUUUCAUACCAAUUAAAAGUGGUUGGCUUUAUUCCUUUCUGUGAGAUACUGUUAGUCAUUAGGACAAUUUAUUUCUGUAAGAAGGAUUCAGUUCUUGAAUUCCCAAAUCAUAUCAAAUGAAGAGACUUCGAUUUGUGUCCUGAGAAAAAUCUCAUCCUUUACUGCACAAUUUAAGGGCUGGCCAUCCUCAGCCACUUUAACAAAUGUACAGAUUCACUGCUGGAAAUGCUUUCUUCAUGUCCUUGUUUCCUAGCCUCUAGAUUAAUCGUGAUUAUGUGAUUCAUUCUACAAAUCAUCAAACAAGACUUAGUCCUGUUGCUGUAGAUUGCUUACCCUCAGCACAUUAAAUCUGGAUGAAUAUUCUGCUUAUAUAUACAGCUUUUAUAUCUUCAAGAUCACUUUUUCUGCUGUCUUCAGAUUGUCAAAUUGUCAGAUUUUUCCCCCCUGUGCUUUUCCUGUACCUUUCGGAAAAAGACAUUUAUCUACACUGCCAGUUAUUCCCUCUGAUCCUAUCAUACUCAAUCAAAAUGAAGGGUUUAAUAUGAGAGUGAUCAUCUGCUCAAGAGUCAAAUGUAUCCUGUGCUUAAGAAUUGGUAAUUAAGAAGGCAAAAAGCCCAAAACUUAAACCCAGGAGUUUGCCUACUAUCUCCACACCUCAAAUCUUAUCCAAAUCUUUCAAGAGUGCCAUCCAACCAGUCUGAGGCCUUGACUUGCUUGUAAGGCGACUCUCAGAGAUGAGCUCAGUUACAGAAGAUGAAGACUUGAUUACCAAAGAAAGUAGGGCCAACUUUGACAAACCUGGCUCUACUGACCCUGCUGCUCCCAGAUAUAGUGUAAACUGAUAAACAGACCCUCAGGUCUGGAUUGGAUAUGGCCUUUGAGCUGGCUGUUCUUGGGCAAAUGAACAGGAAAAUGAGAGCUGCUAUACCUGACUAGCCCUUUAAGAUCAGAAAAUGGUAUUCCGAGUUAACCCUGUAGAAUAAUUCUGAAGUACCCAGGGCAAAAACUAAUUUAUAGAACAUUUAUUAAUCCACCACAUUAUAUCCUGUCUUUUGGUAUGGCUGGUCCUGUUGAAGUUGCCCUGCUUGUCAAUUUACCUGUCUCAACUCUUACCUGCCUUUUUUAACAUGUUUCUGCAAUUAGACUGAGAAGACAAUAGCCAAUUUCAGCAUAUCUUGUGCCCAAUUCCAUCAAGGAUUUCUGAAUGGAAGCAGCCCCAUACUUCACCCCAAAAGGACUUAAUGUUCACAACAGGAAAGGAUCAUGCUGCACACUCCUAGUGGUGAGUAAGCUACACUUGACCAUUUUUGGCACCUGGGACCUCUUCUGCCAGAUUCGGAAGGGAAAAGUGCAGCAGAUGGAAAGCAAAUCCAUUUCUCUCUUCUGCAGCAACAGAAAUGAGUCUGGUUCACCAGUACUCAUAGGAAUGUACCAGUUCAACUUGGCAAAAGACUUAAAGGAACACUAGAGAAGUUUUCCACUGAACUUAAUAAUUUAUCACUGACUCAUAUAGCGUUGCAAAACUACUUGCCAAUAAGAACCUUCAUGUCACAAAGAUAUUGGGACUCUCAGACUCAGCUGAGUUUGCUUGUAUUGAAUCUCUGGUAUCAUCCAAAGUACCCUAUUGGACAUAAAUUACUAUUCCAUUCAAAUGGAUUAUAGACUUCCUGAGGACAGGAAAACCAUCCCUCAUGGUUAUUUUUAAAACAAUUUUAUUACCAGUGAAGAAACAAUGCCAGCAUUCAGAUUCAUAAGCAGAGAUCAAGUUUUUUCAAUAUCUGGUCGUAUCCUGAACAUCAUUUGUUUUUGAUUGCCCAGCAUCCAUUCCAUCUCAUUGUAGCAAUUUCAUGAUAUUUCUUGGAACCCUAUCUUCCUAUUUGCAGUCCAUGUGGUUUGGAUAGUGUGAGCCUUGGGCUUCAGGGGUAUACAUGUAAUUCAGACCUCAUCAAUCAACAAAAUCCAUGUCCUUGAUCAUAGCUAUUGGUUCAUGAAUGGUUGUUUGGCUCAAGUUGGUCUAUUGUUAACCCUAGGAGUUUUACUGAAUUGUGAAGAAGUUUUCUUUAUGGAGGUGCUUUAGCUUUGUAGAAUGAAAAACUCAAACCAAUAAGGCCUAUCACGACAUUGCAUGAGCCACUCUUGAGAAUGAAGCCAGUGCAAAGGAAAACAGCCAGAGAUGGAGAGACUUGAGUCCUGAUGACAGCAUUUGUGCCCCUGGAUCCAACUGUGCCUGAAGCUAGUAUAUCCCCUGGACUUUGCAGUUAUGUGAACCAAUAAAUACCCUUUUUGCUUAUGUUA